GGAAACGGGGCGGCAACACAGCUGAGAAGUAGCAAAUCUCUCCGUCUCUCACUGUUGUUUUUACUGCUUUCAGAAAUGGUUCAGUGUCAUGGGAAUAAGUCCGUUAGCAUCACAACCGUGAGCUAACAGAGGCUAACUAUAAGAGCAGAGUUGGAGUGGACCUCUUGUUGAAGAACUUCUCCAGGCACUAUGAACCAUCUGACUAGUAAGAAAAACCUCAAACAUUCAGAAGUUUAUCAGAUAUUAAAAAUAUAUGUCAAAUAAAUAUCAAAUAUUUUUUGAGUCCUGUAUGUCUUACAAGGCCAUCCUGUUUAACACUGCACUGAGGACACUACAACCAGAGAGGUACAACAUAAUUCAAAAUGAGACACAGAUGAUAAUAAAAAAGUGGUUUGAAAUGAAAAUGAAUACUGGUAAGACAGAACCGAGUACUGUGACUGUGCCUCACUUCAAAGUGAAACAGUCUGUAAUGGUCAUCUGCCAUGCCAGAUCGAUGGUGAAGGUGGGAAUUAUAAGUACGAUUUUCUAAACUUUAAAUGUAGUAAAGUGUUUGUUCAAGUAGACUUUGUUGCUUGUGGAAACUUCACACAAGCCUGAAAGGUGCUUU
ensembl:lncRNA